GUAUGGAUCUUUAUGAAAUUGUACUACAAGGUUCCAUAUCACAAAGGGAAUGCUGGGAUUGAUUUUGGGGGUAAGUGCCUCCAAAUUUUAGGAAUUAGGGGCCAAAAAGGGGCAAAAAACAAGCAUUUUUCUAGUUUCAUGACAAUAACUUGUGUGUAAGUGUAUGGAUCUCUCUGACAUUGUAUCACAAGGUUCCAUAUCACAAAGGGAAUGCUGGGAUUGAUUUUGGGGGUAAUUGCCUCCACAUUUUAGGAAGAAGGGGCCAAAAAGGGGCAAAAAACAAGCAUUUUUCUAGUUUCAUGACAAUAACUUGUGUGUAAGUGAAUGGAUCUUUAUGAAAUUGCACUACAAGGUUCCAUAUCACAAAGGGAAAGCUGGGUUUUAGUUUGGGGGUAAUUGCCCCAAAAGUUUAGGAAUAAGGGGCCAAAAAGAAGCAUUUUUCUAGUUUCCAGAAAAUAACUUGUGUUCAAGUGUAUGGAUCUCUCUGAAAUUGUACUACAAGGUACCAUACCACAAAGGGAAGGCUGGGAUUGAUUUUGGGGGUAAUUCCCUCAAAAUUUUAGGAAUUAGGGGCCAAAAAAGGGCAAAAAAACAAACAUUUUUCUAGUUUCAGGACAAUAACUUGUGUGUAAGUGUAUGGAUCUUUAUGAAAUUGUA